UUCGCAAUGCCCGAAAGGGUGAACGAGCGACGCCGCGUGUGGGAUGAAGUCCUUCGGGAUGUAAACCACUGUCAGGGGAAAGAAAGUUCUGAUCUACCCCAGAGGAAGGCACGGCUAACUCUGUGCCAGCAGCCGCGGUAAGACAGAGGUGCCGAGCGUUAGGCGGAAUCACUGGGCAUAAAGCGCAUGUAGGCGGCCUCAAAAGUCAGGUGUGAAAUCCCCCGGCCCACCCGGGGAAUUGCAUUUGAAACUGAGGGGCUCGAGUGAUGGAGGGGAGAGUGGAACUCCUGGUGGAGCGGUAAAAUGCGUAGAUAUCAGGAGGAACGCCGGUGGAGAAGUCGACUCUCUGGCCAUCUACUGACGCUGAGAUGCGAAAGCUAGGGGAGCAAACGGGAUUAGAUACCCCGGUAGUCCUAGCCGUAAACGAUGGGCACUAAGUAGAGGGGUUUU
rnacentral:rRNA from 1 species